rfam:Loxodonta africana unplaced genomic scaffold scaffold_17, whole genome shotgun sequence.
AUGCGUACUUGUCAGAGGAGACGCCAUGAUCACGAAGGAAGUUUUCCCAGGCGGUGCUCAUCCAUUGCACUCAGGACGUGCUGACCCUUGCGAUUUCCCCACUUGUGGGAAACUUGACUGCAUAAUUUGUGGUAGUGGGUACUGUGUUCUCGCUUUCCCUGA